rnacentral:rRNA from 1 species
GACGAACGCUGGCGGCGUGCUUAACACAUGCAAGUGGAGCGACGAACCAGGGCUUGCCCUGGGGCAGAGCCGCGAACGGGUGAGUAACACGUGGGUAGCCUGCCCAGAUGACCGGGACAACCCGAGGAAACUCGGGCUAAUACCGGAUGUGUUCACCUCACAUCAGUGAGAUGAGGAAAGGAAGCUUCGGCCUCCGCAUCUGGAUGGGCCCGCGGCCCAUUAGUUUGUUGGUGGGGUAAUGGCCUACCAAGACUUCGAUGGGUAGCUGUUCUGAGAGGAAGAUCAGCCACACUGGGACUGAGACACGGCCCAGACUCCUACGGGAGGCAGCAGUGGGAAUCUUGCACAAUGCGCGAAAGCGUGAUGCAGCAACGCCGCGUGCGGGAAGACGGCCUUCGGGCUGUAAACCGCUUUCAGUUGGGACGAAGCUUCGCCGGUGAAUAGCCGGCUGGAGUGACGGUACCUUCAGAAGAAGCCCCGGCUAACUACGUGCCAGCAGCCGCAGUAA